GAUGAACGCUGGCGGCGUGCCUAAUACAUGCAAGUCGAGCGAACAGACGAGGAGCUUGCUUCUCUGACGUUAGCGGCGGACGGGUGAGUAACACGUGGAUAACCUACCUAUAAGACUGGGAUAACUUCGGGAGACCGGAGCUAAUACCGGAUGAUAUCUUGAACCGCAUGGUUCAAUAGUGAAAGACGGUCUUGCUGUCACUUAUAGAUGGAUCCGCGCUGCAUUAGCUAGUUGGUAAGGUAACGGCUUACCAAGGCAACGAUGCCUAGCCGACCUGAGAGGCGGAUCGGCCACACUGGAGCUGAGACACGGUCCAGACGCCUGCGGGAGGCAGCAGUAGGGAAUCUUCCGCAAUGGGCGAAAGCCUGACGGAGCAACGCCGCGUGAGUGAUGAAGGUCUUCGGAUCGUAAAACUCUGUUAUUAGGGAAGAACAUAUGUGUAAGGAACUGUGCACAUCUUGACGGUACCUAAUCAGAAAGCCACGGCUAACUACGUG
rnacentral:rRNA from 1 species